UACAGAGAGUGCAAGCGUUAAUCGGAAUUACUGGGCGUAAAGCGCGCGUAGGCGGAUACUUUAGUCGGAUGUGAAAUCCCCGAGCUUAACUUGGGAAUUGCAUUCGAUACUGGGUGUCUGGAGUAUGGUAGAGGGAAGUGGAAUUUCUGGUGUAGCGGUGAAAUGCGUAGAUAUCAGAAAGAACACCAGUGGCGAAGGCGACUUCCUGGACCAAUACUGACGCUGAGGCGCGAAAGCGUGGGGAGCAAACAGGAUUAGAGACCCUGGUAGUCCACGCUGUCAACGAUGAGAACUAGAUGUUGGGAAGCUUGCUUCUUAGUAUCGAAGCUAACGCGUUAAGUUCUCCGCCUGGGGAGUACGGCCGCAAGGUUA
rnacentral:rRNA from 1 species